rnacentral:rRNA from 1 species
AUUGAACGCUGGCGGCAUGCCUUACACAUGCAAGUCGAACGGUAACGCGGGGCAACCUGGCGACGAGUGGCGAACGGGUGAGUAAUAUAUCGGAACGUGCCCAAUAGUGGGAGAUAGCCCGGCGAAAGCCGGAUUAAUACCGCAUACGACCUGAGGGUGAAAGCGGGGGAUCGCAAGACCUCGCGCUAUUGGAGCGGCCGAUAUCAGAUUAGGUAGUUGGUGGGGUAAAAGCCUACCAAGCCUACGAUCUGUAGCUGGUCUGAGAGGACGACCAGCCACACUGGGACUGAGACACGGCCCAGACUCCUACGGGAGGCAGCAGUGGGGAAUUUUGGACAAUGGGCGCAAGCCUGAUCCAGCCAUGCCGCGUGCGGGAAGAAGGCC